UGCAUGCUGACCCCUUUAAUAAUAAUUGUAGCAAUAUAUUCUUUUUGCAGUGCUUUGCAUAGAAUUUUGGGUGAAGGUGAAGUCCAUUAAUGAAACGUACGUGAGGGGAUCAUUUGCAUGGUUGGCUCUACGACCAGUCUCAAUGCAGAGUUUCAUGGCAUAGUUAGCAAGAGUAUAAACUAGAUAACCGGGCCAGAUGAUUGUAAACUAGGACAUGGAUGCUGCACCAAUACAAAAGCUUUAGUCGAUGACUCAUUGCAAGGCUAGGACUUCAAAGCAAAUUAAGCCUUCAAGGACAAGAUGGCAUCUAACACGUCGUCAUUACCCGAUAACUAUAGAUCUUGGGUUCCACCCUGAAGUCCCAUGGAGCACCUUCACAACACCUUCAAGAGGAAAAACGAUGCCACAAAGCAUUGUCAUCGUAGGGCUUUUGCCGACAGCUGUACAUUAUGCAGCACCAACACAAUUAUCGACAAGAAUCAACAAAAGCAGAAUCCAAUAGCAUAGGGUCAUCGACAAUCUUGGGCGUAGUCAAUCUAUGAGUGGUCAGCAAUGGCCCAUCUUUACCAUGCUCCGCCAGGUGUGUCAUCCACGCCGAUCUCCACGAGCUUGAGGAAAAGAAGGCCUGCCUCUCCGCCACCAUCCUUUCAGCCUCCAGUCGACAGCAUGCUCGAGCUUCAAACGAGGGAGAGAGUUAGGAAGGGAGGGGG
rnacentral:lncRNA from 1 species